rnacentral:rRNA from 1 species
CCUACGGGCGGCAGCAGUGAGGAAUAUUGGUCAAUGGGCGCGAGCCUGAACCAGCCAAGUAGCGUGAAGGAUGACUGCCCUACGGGUUGUAAACUUCUUUUAUAAAGGAAUAAAGUGCGGCACGUGUGCCUCUUUGUAUGUACUUUAUGAAUAAGGAUCGGCUAACUCCGUGCCAGCAGCCGCGGUAAUACGGGGGAUGCGAGCGUUAUCCGGAUUUAUUGGGUUUAAAGGGAGCGUAGAUGGGUUGUUAAGUCAGUUGUGAAAGUUUGCGGCUCAACCGUAAAAUUGCAAUUGAUACUGGCAGUCUUGAGUGCAGUUGAGGUAGGCGGAAUUCGUGGUGUAGCGGUGAAAUGCUUAGAUAUCACGAAGAACUCCGAUUGCGCAGGCAGCUUACUAAACUGCCACUGACAUUGAUGCUCGAAAGUGUGGGUAUCAAACAGGAUUAGAUACCCCUGUAGUC